CCUACGGGAGGCAGCAGUAGGGAAUCUUCCACAAUGGACGAAAGUCUGAUCGAGCAACGCCGCGUGAGCGAUGAAGGCCUUCGGGUCGUAAAGCUCUGUUGUUAGGGAAGAACAAGUAUCGGAGUAACUGCCGGUACCUUGACGGUACCUAACCAGAAA
rnacentral:rRNA from 1 species